rnacentral:rRNA from 1 species
UACGUAGGUGGCAAGCGUUGUCCGGAAUUAUUGGGCGUAAAGCGCGCGCAGGCGGUCUCUUAAGUCUGAUGUGAAAGCCCCCGGCUCAACCGGGGAGGGUCAUUGGAAACUGGGAGACUUGAGUGCAGAAGAGAAGAGUGGAAUUCCACGGUGUAGCGGUGAAAUGCGUAGAGAUGUGGAGGAACACCAGUGGCGAAGGCGACUCUUUGGUCUGUAACUGACGCUGAGGCGCGAAAGCGUGGGGAGCCAACAGGGAUUAAGAAACCCAUAGUAAGUCCGAGCAACCAACGA